rnacentral:rRNA from 1 species
CUGUGCAAAGGUAGCAUAAUCAAUAGUUUUUUAAUUGAAAGCUGGAAUGAAAGGUUUAAUGAAAAAAUUACUGUCUCAAUAUUAAUAAUAGAAUUUUAUUUUUAAGUAAAAAAGCUUAAAUUUUUUAAAAAGACGAGAAGACCCUAUAGAGUUUAAUAAAUUAAUAGUAGUAUUAUUUGUUUUUAAAAAUUGUAUUAUUGUAAAGUUUGUUUUAUUGGGGUGAUAUAAAAAUUUAAAUAACUUUUUAUUUAUUUUUACAUUGAUUAAUGAAUAAUUGAGCCUAAAUUUUAGAUUAAAAGAAAAAAUUACCUUAGGGAUAACAGCGUAAUUUUUUUUGAGAGUUCUUAUCGAAAAAAAAGUUUGCGACCUCGAUGUUGGAUUAAAAUUAAGUUUUGGUGUAGAAGCUGAAAAUUUAAGUCUGUUCGACUUUUAAAAUU